CNUGCAGUCGAACGAACUUCCGUUAAUUGAUUAUGACGUGCUUGCACUGAAUGAGAUUUUAACACGAAGUGAGUGGCGGACGGGUGAGUAACACGUGGGUAACCUGCCCAGAAGCAGGGGAUAACACCUGGAAACAGAUGCUAAUACCGUAUAACAGAGAAAACCGCCUGGUUUUCUUUUAAAAGAUGGCUCUGCUAUCACUUCUGGAUGGACCCGCGGCGCAUUAGCUAGUUGGUGAGGUAACGGCUCACCAAGGCGAUGAUGCGUAGCCGACCUGAGAGGGUAAUCGGCCACAUUGGGACUGAGACACGGCCCAGACUCCUACGGGAGGCAGCAGUAGGGAAUCUUCCACAAUGGACGCAAGUCUGAUGGAGCAACGCCGCGUGAGUGAAGAAGGGUUUCGGCUCGUAAAGCUCUGUUGUUAAAGAAGAACGUGGGUGAGAGUAACUGUUCACCCAGUGACGGUAUUUAACCAGAAAGCCACGGCUAACUACGUGCCAGCAGNNGCGGU
rnacentral:rRNA from 1 species